ACCCCCUUGUGGCUGGAUUUGAGUUAGGUUUCGUUUUUGUGUCAGAAAGUCAGUCAGUCGAGCAUGGACUCUCACAGCAUGGCAGAGAGACAGUGUUUUCAGCGUUUUUAAGCCUUGGAGUAUCUUUGUCCACGUCUGUAGCCGAUUGUGUGAGCAGAAAUGGGUCGACAAGUUUUACAUAAAAGAUGAAAACGUUAUCAACGCCUGAAGUCUUUUUUGUCAGCUAUCUGUCUAGCAUGGUCCAG